rnacentral:sRNA from 1 species
GACCGCAGCAGUGCCGGCGGGAGAGCUGGCUUGGGGCGCUGGCGCCUCUUCUUACAGCUUUACUCCUGCCGGCUUGGGAAAAGGCCGGAGAAGGUGAAAUUCUGUGUGCUCCCUCCGGCGAGAGACUUUGUCAGCUCCCGCACAGUAACGUGGAAGUCCAAGAAUCCGAAUGGAGGCUCACCGAGGCGAAGGGGCCAACCAUGGGAAAGGAGAGUGGAUGGGACUCAGCUGCACUCCUGCAGGGCUCUCCCUGGGAUGCUGGCUGAGCUGACUCCCACAGCUCCCAAAGGGGCCCCAAGGCUCCAUCCCACAGGAUUGCCCUGGCUACAGAGGAUCACAGAGGUCCAUCUCUGCCCAGGGUGCACAAUGUUGGGGAAGCCAGCCCUUAACCAAUGAUGUGAAGGGACUUGGGGUAAAUUACAGAAACGACCAUAUUCUCCGCCCUUUCAGCAUGGCUGUACAGCUCCUCCCAUCAAGAGGUAGGAAUUUCUUUCCCCUCCCUUUGAAUCUCCUCUGGCCUGGGGAGUUGCUCUGGCCUGGCCGAUAGAACACAGUGGAAGUGAUGGCGUGCU